rnacentral:rRNA from 1 species
AGCGAACGCUGGCGGCAGGCCUAACACAUGCAAGUCGAACGAAGUCUUCGGACUUAGUGGCGGACGGGUGAGUAACACGUGGGAACGUACCUUUUGGUUCGGAACAACUCAGGGAAACUUGAGCUAAUACCGGAUGAGCCCUUAGGGGGAAAGAUUUAUCGCCGAAAGAGCGGCCCGCGUUAGAUUAGAUAGUUGGUAAGGUAAAGGCUCACCAAGGCUACGAUCUAUAGCUGGUCUGAGAGGAUGAUCAGCCACACUGGGACUGAGACACGGCCCAGACUCCUACGGGAGGCAGCAGUGGGGAAUCUUGCGCAAUGGGCGAAAGCUUGACGCAGCCAUGCCGCGUGAAUGAUGAAGGUCUUAGGAUUGUAAAAUUCUUUUACCAGGGACGAUAAUGACGGUACCUGGAGAAAAAGCCCCGGCUAACUUCGUGCCAGCAGCCGCAGUAA